rnacentral:ncRNA from 2 species
AAAUAAUGUAGUUAAUCAGGUGCCCCGGCCAUGCCGGGGGUGAAAAGGGAACCGGGUGUAAGUCCCGGACGGUCCGGCCACUGUAAGUGGGGAGCGGUUUUCCAAAUGCCACUGGGUUUUUUGAAUCUGGGAAGGCUGGAAAUGCGCUGUGAGCCACAAGUCAGGAGACCUGCCUGGUUAAUCUAAGUGCC